AGAGUUUGAUCCUCGUGCUCAGAACGAACGCUGGCGGCAUGCCUAACACAUGCAAGUCGAACGAACCCUUCGGGGUUAGUGGCGCACGGGUGCGUAACGCGUGGGAAUCUGCCCUUUGGUUCGGAAUAACAGUUAGAAAUGACUGCUAAUACCGGAUGAUGACUUCGGUCCAAAGAUUUAUCGCCAGAGGAUGAGCCCGCGUAGGAUUAGGUAGUUGGUGGGGUAAAGGCCUACCAAGCCGACGAUCCUUAGCUGGUCUGAGAGGAUGAUCAGCCACACUGGGACUGAGACACGGCCCAGACUCCUACGGGAGGCAGCAGUGGGGAAUAUUGGACAAUGGGGGAAACCCUGAUCCAGCAAUGCCGCGUGAGUGAUGAAGGCCUUAGGGUCGUAAAGCUCUUUUACCCGGGAUGAUAAUGACAGUACCGGGAGAAUAAGCUCCGGCUAACUCCGUGCCAGCAGCCGCGGUAAUACGGAGGGAGCUAGCGUUGUUCGGAAUUACUGGGCGUAAAGCGCACGUAGGCGGUUAUUCAAGUCAGAGGUGAAAGCCCGGGGCUCAACCCCGGAACUGCCUUUGAAACUAGAUGACUAGAAUCUUGGAGAGGUCAGUGGAAUUCCGAGUGUAGAGGUGAAAUUCGUAGAUACUCGGAAGAACACCAGUGGCGAAGGCGACUGACUGG
rnacentral:rRNA from 1 species